rnacentral:tRNA from 1 species
GCGGGGCGCGUCGUCUGGUGACGGCACGUGGCCCACGUCUACGGCGAGGAGGGUUCGAUCCCCUCGCCCCGCACCA